GGACGAGGUAGGCGGAAUUCGUAGUGUAGCGGUGAAAUGCAUAGAUAUUACGAAGAACUCCAAUAGUGUAGACUGCUUACCAGACCAUAUCUGACACUAAGGCACGAAAGUGUGGGUAUCAAACAGGAUUAGAUACCCUGGUAGUCCACACAGUAAACGAUGAAUACUAACUGUUUGCGAUAUACAGCAAGUGGUCGAGCGAAAGCGUUAAGUAUUCCACCUGGGAAGUAUGCCGGCAACGGUGAAACUCAAAGGAAUUGACGGGGGCCCGCACAAGCGGAGGAACAUGUGGUUUUAUUCGAUAAUACGCGAGGAACCUUACCCGGGCUCGAACGAUAUUUGAAUACAUCCGAAAAGAUGUAGCUAGCAAUAGCAAAUACCGAGGUGCUGCAUGGUUGUCGUCAGCUCGUGCCGCGAGGUGUCGACUUAAGUGUCAUAACGAGCGCAACCCUUACCGAUAGUUACCAUCAGAUAAUGCUGGGGACUCUAUUGGGACUGCCACCGUAAGGUGUGAGGAAGGAGAGGAUGACGUCAAAUCAGCACGGCCCUUAUGUCCGGGGCGACACACGUGUUACAAUGGGAGAAACAAAGGGUCGCUACCUGGCAACAGGAUGCUAAUCUCGAAAAUCUCUCUCAGUUCGAAUUGGAGUCUGCAACUCGACUCCAUGAAGCUGGAUUCGCUAGUAAUCGCACAUCAGCCAUGGUGCGGUGAAUACGUUCCCGGGCCUUGUACACACCGCCCGUCAAGCCAUGGAAGCUGGAAGUACCUGAAGUAUGUAACUAAAAGAGCGUCCUAAG
rnacentral:rRNA from 1 species